GUGGGGAAUCUUAGACAAUGGGCGCAAGCCUGAUCUAGCCAUGCCGCGUGAGCGAUGAAGGCCUUAGGGUUGUAAAGCUCUUUCGCUGGGGAAGAUAAUGACUGUACCCAGUAAAGAAGCCCCGGCUAACUCCGUGCCAGCAGCCGCGGUAAUACGGAGGGGGCUAGCGUUGUUCGGAAUUACUGGGCGUAAAGCGCGCGUAGGCGGAUUGGAAAGUUGGGGGUGAAAUCCCGGGGCUCAACUUCGGAACUGCCUUCAAAACUCCCAGUCUUGAGUGCGAGAGAGGUGAGUGGAAUUCCGAGUGUAGAGGUGAAAUUCGUAGAUAUUCGGAGGAACACCAGUGGCGAAGGCGGCUCACUGGCUCGAUACUGACGCUGAGGUGCGAAAGCGUGGGGAGCAAACAGGAUUAGAAACCCUGGUAGUCC
rnacentral:rRNA from 1 species